ensembl:lncRNA
GGGAGAGGUGAAGUGGGGAAGGACGAGGUGGAGGGCGAGAGGUGGAGGGCGAGAGGUGGAGGACGAGAGGUGGAGGGCGAGAGGUGGAGGACGAUAGAGUCCAGCUGGAGGACGAGUGGUGGAGGAUGAGAGGUGGAGGGCGAGAGAUGAAGGAUGAGAGGUGGAGGACGAGAGGUGGAGGGGAGAGGUGGAGGGCGAGAGGUGGAGGACGAGAGGUGGGGACGAGAGGUGGAGGGCGAGAGGUAGAGGACGAGAGGUGGAGGACGAGAGGUGGAGAACGAGAGGUGGAGGACGAGAGGUGGAGGACGAGAGGUGGAGGACGAGAGGUGG